rnacentral:rRNA from 1 species
CGCAGCUAGCUGUGUUAUUUACCACGAAUUGCAGACGCUUAGAGUGGUGAAAUUUUGAACGCAUAGCGUCGUUGGGUUUCCCCUUCGGCACAUCUGGUUCAGGGUUGUU